rnacentral:tRNA from 1 species
GGGCGCAUAGCUCAGCGGUAGAGCGCCACCUUGACAUGGUGGAGGUCCGUGGUUCGAGACCACGUGCGCCCACCA